GUUUGAAAGUUUGUCCAGAGUAGUAACAGGGAGUGGGCUAAAUAACAAACUCUUAAUCUCCCCAUGACUCAUAUUGUUGUUAUUUAACAUUGCAUAAAUUACUAAAUCUUAGGCUAAUUUUUUUUAAGUGUAAAAUCCUUCCUAUUGACAUCUCAGAAAAUAGGCUCUAAUUGGUAAUAAACACCAUCAGUGAUUUGGCAUACAUUGUGUCUUAGUUUGUCACAAGGGAGAAUGUUGUUAACCCUAAACCACGAUGUCAGAAGAUUAAAUAGACUUCAGGUUUACUGUUGUCAUUGUUGACUUUAUUUACUUAUUCUUUUGUUGUGCAGGUGACCAUCCACGGCAAGAUAGCAUGGAUUUCAGUAAUGAAUGGGGGGAUCCCUCAAGCUGUCGAUGUGGAGACAGACUGAAGCCAUUAGAGCGGAGAGCUGCACGCCAGCACCAGCGAUGUCUAGCACAUUCUUUGGUUGGGACUCCCAAUUAUAUUGCACCUGAAGUGUUGCUACGAACAGGAUACACACAGUUGUGUGAUUGGUGGAGUGUUGGUGUUAUUCUUUUUGAAAUGUUGGUGGGACAACCUCCUUUCUUGGCACAAACACCAUUAGAAACACAAAUGAAGGUAAGGUAUGGCAUCUAUAUCAAAAGAAUUCUCACAAAGUUGCUACAUCAUUGACUUUUAUUUAUUAGUACGUAGAGCAUUUUAGUCUGGAGUUAAAGAAUGAACUUGGGCCGGGUGCAGUGGCUCACACCCAUAAUGCCAGUUCUUUGGGAGGCUGAGGCAGGAGGAUUGCUUGAGCCUAGGAGUUCAAGAUCAGCCUGGCAACAAUGUGAGACCACAUCUCUACAAACAAAUAUUUUUUAAUU
rnacentral:lncRNA from 1 species